CCCUGAUGCACCACGCCGCGUGGAGGAUGACGCAUUUCGGUGUGUAAACUCCUUUUAUAUGGGAAGAUAAUGACGGUACCAUAUGAAUAAGCACCGGCUAACUCCGUGCCAGCAGCCGCGGUAAUACGGAGGGUGCAAGCGUUACUCGGAAUUACUGGGCGUAAAGAGCGUGUAGGCGGACUGACAAGUCAGAAGUGAAAUCCUGUGGCUCAACCAUAGAACUGCUUCUGAAACUGCUAGUCUAGAAUAUGGGAGAGGUAGACGGAAUUGAUGGUGUAGGGGUAAAAUCCGUAGAGAUCAUCAGGAAUACCGAAAGCGAAGGCGGUCUACUGGAACAUUAUUGACGCUGAGACGCGAAAGUGUGGGUAGCAAACAGGAUUAGAUACCCUGGUAGUCCACACCCUAAACGAUGAAUGUUAGUCGUCGGAAUGCAUGUCAUUUCGGUGAUGCAGCUAACGCAUUAAACAUUCCGCCUGGGGAGUACGGUCGCAAGAUUAAAACUCAAAGGAAUAGACGGGGACCCGCACAAGCGGUGGAGCAUGUGGUUUAAUUCGACGAUACGCGAAGAACCUUACCCGGCCUUGACAUCCUUGGAACAUUCUAGAGAUAGAGUGGUGCCAGGUUUACCUGGAGCCAAGUGACAGGUGCUGCACGGCUGUCGUCAGCUCGUGUCGUGAGAUGUUGGGUUAAGUCCCGCAACGAG
rnacentral:rRNA from 1 species